UAUUGUGUUCACUUUCACUUUGGUCUCUUCAAUUUUUUUUUUUUUUGGAGCACUCAGUACUUAACAAAAUUGUCUUAAGUCUUGUCCCCACCUCAGUAUGUCAGGGACAUCUAUGACCACCAUUCCCAUCGUACAGGUGAAGAAAUGGGGGACAUGGAAGGUGUCAAUAUGCUCAACUGUAGAGCGUGAGUCAGAGGUCAGGAAGAAACGUGCAUGUGGGGCUGCGGACACAAAGGCUAGUCCCCAAAGCUCUAGAAUCCUCUUGCUCUGCCUCAGGACAUUAUCAAUCCAGAGAUGUUAUGAGGACUGGUAGAUUCAAGGCUUUCAAAUUGCUGUCCUCCAACAAGGCUCUGGGGUCACCUGCAGCCACACACUCUUUCCUGGAUCAUAUGUGUCUGCUCUGCCUUUUUUUUCAUAUCUCUGGCAAUGGGCAUUCAGGCCAUCAAGGCAUCUCUGCAAAAGGAUAAGGUCUGAUACAUGUACUGACAAACUCAGACAUGGGCUGGUAAAAAUUAAGUUGAAAAGGAUGAUGACACAGUAGCAUCAAGGGCAGCAAUAAACACUCGCCAAUUUUUAUUGCACAGCAGAUAGGUCACUGGUACAUGGUGUUUGAUAUGUGCUUGCUGAAUGCCAGUUUGUGCCAGGAGGUGCAAAGAUCAAUAAGUCACAGGUCCUUCCCUCAAGUACCUUACAGUCCAGCAGAGGAGAUAGACAAGAAAACAAACACAACAGUAAAGUCAUAAAUAGAAAUUUAUACAAAGACCAACGUAGCAGAGAGGGAGGAGUGAUUAACUUGAAAGUUAUACCAGAAGAAAACUUCAAAGUCUGCAGCAUCUGAUGGAUUGCAGGUGCAAGGCCCCUUUAGAACAGCUGCACUCCUGAACUUUUCUCUAACAUGGAUUUGUAUGUAUUAAAGCCUAUAUCAUUUCAUUAUACAACUGGAUGUAUGUGUAUUAAAAUCACAUUUGAUAAUUCAACUCAUUAAAUGACCUAAUGACUCUUUUGCUUUGCUUUCCUCCCUUUCUCAGCAAGCAAAAAAGUUUCUUAACUGAGCAGUCACAUUGGAUUGAAGAGGCAUCUGUUUCUAACAAAUUGACACUUCAUUAUUUUCCAUUGGGAGCAAAUGUGCACCUCCUUUUGAUCACUCAGAGCUUGUUAUACAGAACAAUAAGAAGGCACUGUGUUAGAAUCACCAGGCCCCUCUAAACCAGAGAAAAUGCAGAAAUACCAAAGAGGUUGAGCCUAAUUAUUUCAGUAAAUGAAGCAAGAGGGUGGGGCAUGUUACUGGAAUAUAGGACUGAAUGUAACUUGAAAAUUAUAUAAAAGAAGCUUUGGGAUAAAGUGUAAUUGAGUUAGUUUGCUAGUUUCUAAAUUCUGUAAUAGUGAAUUUCAUGUAUCAGGUUUCUAUGUAACGAGGUGUGUAUGUGAGAGCUACAUAUACAAAUCUACUUCUUAAGUAUUUCCCAAAUGAUUUGUGACAUUUAGGGGGAACUCCAUGGGACAUUAAUACUAGAAAACUCUCUUACCUGUAUAGAAGAAAAACAUUUUAUAAUGUUAAUCGUCAUAAUAUUUCUCUUGUAGAAAAUAGUUGGAGAAAUCUAAGGUUGAAAACAACAUAUGUUCUCUAUAUUAAAACGUCAAGAGCUGUACUGAGGAAGUUUGUGGAGUGGGUGGUAGUGACAGAGACAUACUCAGGAAGGCUGGACCCAUGGAGGCUGCCCACCUUGUUCAUUGAUUUCUACUUGAUUGAUUCCUUCUUGAUUGAUUUCCAGGAUCUCUGAAACGAGAAGCCCUCCCCUUUAUAUGUUUAAUCAGAUAUUGCAAAGUGGACCUGAGAACGAGCCCGUCGGAAGCAGAUUAUGAAGGGGCCUAUGUUUUGAAUAUGCUGAACUGCUUUGGUUUGUGACUGGGGAAGAUUAAAGGCCUACAACAAAAAUGAGUGCUGGAUAUUGCUGACAAGAGAGGCUUCCUGUAAUUUCUCAGGCCAUAAGUAUUUAAGGGUCCACUGUUGACGCCAGCAUUGCAUUUCCCAUGUUCCUGCUUGACACACCUGUGCAGGUGGCAUGGUUUUAGCAGACCGAUCCAGAGAGAAGUAUCUGCAUUACAGUUAGACUGGAAGAAAAGUUAUUAAGUUGAGACUUUAAGGUAACCAGCCUUACCGACGUCACAGAAGUGUGUACGGAGAAGAGUUCCUGCCAGCUCAAGUAUUGUCUCCUCUGAUCAGAGUUCUCCUUGCACAGCUUAUUUCUGCUGUGAUAGAAAAACAGUCUGGGUGUCACAGAGAGAACUGAAGACAGGAAGUGGGAACUCUCCCUUCUGAAUACAGCACUAGAGUUAAUGUUAAGAGUGAGGGAAAAAAGCUAAGAGUAAUUCCUAUUGGUGAACUCAUUCAAUAUUCACAGACACCUAGGAGAUAGAUAUUCUUCUUCUUCUUCCCAUCUUCUAAGAAACUGAGGCCCAGAGAGGUUGAGUAAAUUACUCAAGAUUAAAUAGCACAGAUGGCAGAACAAAGAUGCAAACUCAGAAA